rnacentral:rRNA from 1 species
UGUAAGCGUAUACCAAAGUUGUUGCAGUUAAAACGCUCGUAGUCGGAAUUUGGCAGUUCCGGAAGUGUGCACGUCGUGUGCGCACUUUGCGGGGACUGCUUUUGUGGUCUUGCGUAGGAUGAGGCACUUUCAUUAGUGAACGUCCUCACGCAACCACUCUUUACUGUGAGAAAAUCAGAGUGCUCAAAGCAGGCAUUUGCCGUGAAUGUAUUAGCAUGGAAUAAUAGAAGAGGACUCGGUUCUAUUUUGUUGGUUUGUUGGGACUGAGUAAUGAUUAAGAGGGACAGUUGGGGGCAUUUGUAUUCCGGCGCUAGAGGUGAAAUUCUUAGAUUGCCGGAAGACAAACUGCUGCGAAAGCGUCUGCCAAGGAUGUUUUCAUUGA